CUAAAAUGUGCUUGUGUACAAAAACGUGAAUGGAGUGAUUUGUAUUAGGAAGUUAAACCAAUACCAUAAUUGUAAAUAUCACGACUGGAGAUAGAUAUCAAAAUGUAACUAGACUAGGUAAAAUAAGCAGCCUGGUUAGGUGGAUAGAGGUAGUAGCGAUAACAAAUCCUUGAUUAUAGAUUGGUAAGGGUUAAACAACAU